AGAGUUUGAUCCUGGCUCAGGAUGAACGCUGGCGGCGUGCCUAACACAUGCAAGUCGAACGGGGUUAUAGAGAGGAAGUUUUCGGAUGGAAUCGAUAUAACCUAGUGGCGGACGGGUGAGUAACGCGUGGGAAACCUGCCCUGUACCGGGGGAUAACACUUAGAAAUAGGUGCUAAUACCGCAUAAGCGCACAGGAGCGCAUGCUCCAGUGUGAAAAACUCCGGUGGUACAGGAUGGUCCCGCGUCUGAUUAGCCAGUUGGCAGGGUAACGGCCUACCAAAGCGACGAUCAGUAGCCGGCCUGAGAGGGUGGACGGCCACAUUGGGACUGAGACACGGCCCAAACUCCUACGGGAGGCAGCAGUGGGGAAUAUUGCACAAUGGGGGAAACCCUGAUGCAGCGACGCCGCGUGAGUGAAGAAGUAUUUCGGUAUGUAAAGCUCUAUCAGCAGGGAAGAAAAUGACGGUACCUGAGUAAGAAGCCCCGGCUAACUACGUGCCAGCAGCCGCGGUAAUACGUAGGGGGCGAGCGUUAUCCGGAUUUACUGGGUGUAAAGGGAGCGUAGACGGCAAUGCAAGUCUGAAGUGAAACCCCAAGGCUCAACCAUGGGCAUGCUUUGGAAACUGUGUAGCUAGAGUGCAGGAGAGGCAGGCGGAAUUCCUAGUGUAGCGGUGAAAUGCGUAGAUAUUAGGAGGAACACCAGUGGCGAAGGCGGCCUGCUGGACUGAAACUGACGUUGAGGCUCGAAGGCGUGGGGAGCAAACAGGAUUAGAUACCCUGGUAGUCCACGCGGUAAACGAUGAUUGCUAGGUGUAGGUGGGUAUGGACCCAUCGGUGCCGCAGCUAACGCAAUAAGCAAUCCACCUGGGGAGUACGUUCGCAAGAAUGAAACUCAAAGGAAUUGACGGGGACCCGCACAAGCGGUGGAGCAUGUGGUUUAAUUCGAAGCAACGCGAAGAACCUUACCAAGUCUUGACAUCCCAGUCGAUAUACCGUAAUGGGUAUAGCCCUAAGGGGGACUGGAGACAGGUGGUGCAUGGUUGUCGUCAGCUCGUGUCGUGAGAUGUUGGGUUAAGUCCCGCAACGAGCGCAACCCUUAUCUUUAGUAGCCAGCAGGUAAAGCUGGGGACUCUAGAGAGACAGCCGGGGAUAACCCGGAGGAAGGCGGGGAUGACGUCAAAUCAUCAUGCCCCUUAUGAUUUGGGCUACACACGUGCUACAAUGGCAUAAACAGAGGGAAGCGAGAUGGAGACAUGGAGCGAAUCCCAAAAAAGAUGUCCCAGUUCGGAUUGUAGUCUGCAACUCGACUACAUGAAGCUGGAAUCGCUAGUAAUCGCAGAUCAGAAUGCUGCGGUGAAUACGUUCCCGGGUCUUGUACACACCGCCCGUCACACCAUGGGAGUUGGGAAUGCCCGAAGCCUGUGACUAAACCGAAAGGAUAGAGCAGUCGAAGGCAGGUCUAAUGACUGGGGUGAAGUCGUAACAAGGUAACC
rnacentral:rRNA from 1 species